UACGUAGGGUGCGAGCGUUGUCCGGAAUUAUUGGGCGUAAAGAGCUUGUAGGCGGUCUGUCGCGUCUGCUGUGAAAAUCCGGGGCUCAACCCCGGACUUGCAGUGGGUACGGGCGGACUAGAGUGUGGUAGGGGAGACUGGAAUUCCUGGUGUAGCGGUGAAAUGCGCAGAUAUCAGGAGGAACACCAAUGGCGAAGGCAGCUCACUGGGACGGUAUUGACGCUGAGACGCGAAAGCGUGGGGAGCAAACAGG
rnacentral:rRNA from 1 species